UACGAAGGGUGCAAGCGUUGUUCGGAUUUAUUGGGCGUAAAGCGCGCGUAGGCGGACCUGUAAGUCAGAUGUGAAAUCUCGGGGCUCAACCCCGAAACUGCGUCUGAAACUGCAGGUCUAGAAUCUUGGAGGGGGAAGGGGAAUUUCGCAUGUAGGGGUAAAAUCCGUAGAUAUGCGAAGGAACACCAGAGGCGAAGGCGCCUUCCUGGACAAGUAUUGACGCUGAGGCGCGAAAGCGUGGGGAUCAAACAGG
rnacentral:rRNA from 1 species